CUAGUUCUUUGGUACCCAUUUCAAAAUGGCCCUGCUGCAGAGACAGCAGAAGUAGGAGAGAGAUUUGAUGUAUGGUUUUUUUCCUGUUAUUGUGAUGAUGUACAGCGUAGUUACUUGUCCUCUGGCUUAUAUAUUUAUUUUAUUAUGUGCCUUUUCGAGUCCUGCCGAAUCUGCAAAAAGCGAUAUUGAAUUAGAUGCCAAAGCACAGCAUAACCAUCAGAUUGACAGCUUAAAUUUACUUUUGUAUACAUUCUUACUUACUCUGACAGUGUUAACCAUAUGGCUGUUCAAACACAGGAGAUUUCGAUUUAUCCACGAGACUGGACUAGCUGUGAUUUAUGGCCUUAUUGUGGGAGCUCUUAUACGAUAUGCUGGAAAUGCCAGUUCUGUUGUACACAUGACUGUUGUACCUGAGAAAGACAAAUAUAAUCAGUCUUUGCCUCCGGAUUCCUUAUGGCUACGUUUUCCAAACAAAGGAGGGUCACCAAAUGUUCCAAACAAGACGUAUGCCUAUACAUUCAGAGGAGAAAUUGAUGUUGAUGACAGUGAAAUUGAACUUAAGGCUACAUUUGAUCCAGAAAUAUUUUUCAAUAUUAUAUUACCACCAAUCAUUUUUCAUGCUGGUUAUAGCUUGAAAAGGAAAUACUUCUUUCGGAACCUUGGGGCUAUUUUGACUUACGCACUGAUUGGCACAACACUGUCGUCGUUUGCUGUGGGUGCUUUGAUGUAUGGUUUCAUCCAGUUGCGACCCUAUCUGAAGUCAAGUUUCACAUUUUUGGAUACUUUAUACUUUGGUGCCCUCAUUUCUCCAACAGAUCCUUUGACAAUAUUAGCCAUUUUCAACGACCUUCAUGUUGAUGUCAAUUUGUAUGCACUUGUUUUUGGCGAAAGUGUCCUAAAUGAUGCAGUUGCUAUUGUUUUAAGCGGAGCUAUACAAAAUUAUGGAGAAAGGUACCAAUCAGGAUCAGGAGGUUUUGAAACUGAUGCAUUCUUUAGAGCAUUGGGGGAUUUCUUCGUGAUUUUCAGUUUAUCUCUCCUGAUUGGAACUGUCAUGGGAUGCAUUACAGCCUUGAUGACCAAGUUCACGAGGGUGAGGGAUUUUCCUCUCCUGGAAUCAGCUUUGUUUGUGCUGAUGUCAUACAGCACGUUUCUUAUCGCAGAGGCAUCUGACCUCACAGGUAUUGUGGCUGUCCUGUUUUGUGGAAUCUGUCAAGCACAUUAUACCUACAACAAUUUGUCCGUAGACUCUCGAACAAGGACAAAGAAGUUGUUUGAACUGCUCAACUUUCUUGCUGAAAAUUUUAUAUUUGUAUACAUAGGUGUUUCUAUGUUCACAUUCCCAAAACACCAUUUUGAUCCUGGAUUCAUCAUUGUGGGAUUUUUAUGUGCAAUGGUGGGUCGUGCAGUAAACAUUUAUCCUCUAUCAUUCCUUUUAAAUCUAGGCAGGAAACCAAAGAUCGCAUAUAACUUUCAGCAUAUGUUGUUUUUUGCCGGUCUGAGGGGAGCUAUGUCUUUCGCAUUGGCCAUCCGAAAUACUGUGUCAGAUGCAAGGCAAGCCAUGUUGACAACUACUUCACUGAUAGUUAUCAUCACAGUAAUAGUGCAAGGUGGUGCAACAAUGCAACUGUUGACGUGGUUCAAAAUACCUGUCGGGGUGGAAGAAGAAGUAGAAAUGCUUCCCUAUACAGGAGUUAGAAAUGUAUACAAUUCAAUGGGGACAACAUUGAGGGAGGACACAUCGGAGCAGCCUCGUGAGAGCAACAAAGUCAAUGAAAAAGCUUGGCUUGCUCGUAUUUGGGGGAACUUUGAUGUAAGAUAUAUGAAACCAUUGUUGACACAUGCACGUCCCACACUAUUGGAAACCCUUCCUGUAUGCUGUAAUCCUCUCGCAAGAGUUUUGACAACAACUGAGCAAAUGACACAGGAUAAUCGUUCCAGAUCACAAAUGGAUUCUGAUUCCGAUUUGUGUAUAGAUGACAAUGAUGUCAGUUACACAAAUCACCGUCGAUCCAGUGGUGCGAGAAACUUUUACGUAUCUAGUCCACAACAAACUGGGAACCGCCUUUAAUUGUGAAGUUUGAGAAGUUCUGUUGUGCUCUUAUGCUGAAGCAGAAAUGGGCUUUGUGAUUCUGUUUUAUAAUAGUGACAGUGUGACAAUAUCUGGUGAUUUAGGCCUUGGCAGUCGUGUAGUGGACACACGUGUUCGAAUCCCUGGACCUGGUGGAAAUAAUAUUUAAUCUGAUUAGGAAGUAUCAGGAAGGCUGUGAAAUAAGAAGAACACAACAGUAUUGUUUUGUGAUUAUUCCUAGAAUAUAAAAUGUGUGUAUCCUGCGUGAAGUUCUCUAAGCAAAGACCAAACAGACAUGUUAGAUACAGUUCACUGCGCUAUAAUUUUGCCUUCAACUGUGAUUGAUAUCAGUUCAAAAGUGUUUCAUAACAUGUUCUGUAAACAACUGGAUGUAAAAUGUUGCCUCACUCUCAUUUGUUAGCGAAAUUUGUGUACUUGCAGCUUGUGGUUAAUGCUGUUAUACUUGGCAACUGAAUUUGCACACUGUUGCUCAUGUAGCUCAGUACAAGAAUCAUUUAAGAACUCUAAAACAUUUAUCACACAAUUUAUUGGAAACAAAAUUAAUAUAAUUCAAAAGUGUUAAAGUUUGUUUUACUAAAAUAUUCUUCUUUAUCGUGAACACAUUUUUAUCACUUAUAAUUAAAAAUAUCUAUUAACCAUACUUUACUCUGUGUUGUCAGCUAAUGUUUGUUAUAACAGACAUGGAAAUAUGAAAAAUAUGUCAGGCAGCAAAAUAGAAAGAAAACUCUGAGUCAUUCGAAAAUACAUUUUUAUUAAAGCAUUGAUUCUGGUGGGGUUUUGUCAUCUGCAGUGUGGUAUGCGCAAAGAAAGUAGCAGGAAGUUUCUUCGUGAAUAUUUAAUGACUUUGGAAAUAUAUGACAGUUGUGCUGGAAUAGAAAAACAUAAUUUCGGCUGUAAUACUGCAUUAAGUCUUCUUUUUUUCAUUUGUGAAGGUGUAAUAUAAAUCCUAAAUUGGAUUUAAGUCAGUAUUAAAGGCUGAUUUAAUUUUCUUAUCUAUUACUCUCAUUGAGGAGAUGUUUUAUAUACUUCACUGUACUAGCAGAAAGAGGCUGCAUGCAGCUCACUCAUGUCAUAAUAGAUGAAUAAUGCCAAAGUUUAUUUUAUUUAUUUAUUUAUUUAUUUUCAUACUGUAGUUUUCAUCACCAGCAGUUUUAAUUUACAUUAGAAGUGCUCUUAAAUUUUCAUUCAAAUUCUUCAAUUGUCCUCUGCUUCCAUUUAGCAGUGCGACAAUUAUUUGCAGCAACCAAACAGUUUUCUCCUUUAGUAAAACUAAUAUUUUAUUGGUAUAGUUUACAGUUUAUUUCAGUAUACAACCAGUUUAUAGUAAUAGAUUCCUUGUAGACAUAGAAAUAAAUAUAAUGUCAGAGAGGCAGGUUGUCUUGUGACUUUGGAUUCAGAGUGGACCAUCACAGCUUAAUGCACAGAACAUCUGGAAUCUCAUCCUUUAUAGGAGCUAUUACAUUCUUUAUUUAGGAUAAGUUUCUCUGAACUAUUCAUAAUCAUAGAUGAGACAGGUUUCUGUGCAUGUUUAUAUCUUCAACUUUUCAUUUGAGGUUAGCACUGCAGAUUUAUUGAACACUUUGUACUUUUGUUAACAGAAUUUUUUACUUCUCAAAGUCAAGUUGUCAGUUUAACACUUCUGCUAUAGCAAAAUUAAAUUAUUCCUAAUAGUUAUUCAGCUGCAAUUGGAAAACUACAAUAGGGAUCUCUUUACAGAUUUUCUGUAAAUGUACCUGGUUUCUUAUGUAAAAUUGUGCUGAUUUGCUGUUUGGUAAUGAAAUAAAAUUGAGAGUAAAAUAAGUGAAACAUUAGUAUACAGUUCUGUUCCAAUGGGAAAAACUAAGCACAGCACACAGGUAACUGCUCACUAGUGCUGAACUGUUAUGCUUGAGAUAACCAUCUAUGCCCACAUUCAUCAAUAUAAGAUGAAAAAAAUAGUAUAGAUAAGUGUAAAGAUGAGUGCCAAGAACUAUAGUGUUUAAAGAGAAUUUUUUUUAACUAAGAUGCCAGUGUAUUGUCUUUCAGAUGCAUUAUAAUUAAUACUUUAAAA